AAGCACACUUUUUUUUUUUUUGAUAUACUUCUUCUUCUCUUCUUCGUUCAUCCUCAAAAAUUUCAACUUCAUCUUCUCCCUCAUCACAUUUUUCCCUGUCCCUUUGUAAUCAUGAUUCUUCUUUCGCCAUCAUUACCUUCUAAAGGAGUCUCUCUCUCCCUCUCUCUCUAAAAGAAUAAUGCAAACACAAACUUUCAUCUAUAUAACGCGUCUAUAUCUCUCCCCCAACUCAACAAAAACGUCUCACUACUUCUUCUCUUUAUCUCUUUCUCUUCUUCAAGCUCCAAAGAUGUGUUUGAGUUCUUCAGAACCAUUUCCAGACACACCCACGAGAUUAGUUUUGUACCUGAAAACACAAAGUCACGUUCGUAUCCCUCGUCUCUCCAGGAGGAGAAGGAUGUGGCGGGAAGAAAAGGAGAUGGAGAUGAUCAAUCAAAAGCUUUACAUGGAGAAUCAAAACAUCAUAA